UCAGCUACUUUUUUUUAUUUAUUUUUUGGGUUUACAAAGGAAGAGGCGGGUGAACUUGAACUUGAGACCGUGCCCAAGUCAAGAGUUGCACCUACCACCACGCUAUGACACUAAGCCUGCAUAGAACACAUGCAUGAGUGAGUCUAUUUGAUCACUAUCAAGAAGUCUUAUUUUACCUUUGAUUUCAAUUCAAAAUCUAGCGAGAUGCUUUAUAGGCUUUUAUCCACAAGAAAAUAAUAGGAAAGAAAACAAAGUUCUUUUGGGGAAGGGGGGAGGAGAAGGAGAUGGGACCAAUUCCUAUGAAUAAUUGUCUAUCUUUUAAUGAACAGUUUACACAAUUUCACAGAAUAGGUAACUUGGUGAGCCGGAAGAAAUGCAGAAAAGCAAUUUUAGUGACAUGAAACAUUGCAAAGGCACUAAUGGGAAGCAGGUUUAGAAAAUAGAAUAGAAUAGAGAACUAUACAUAGAACACGUACCUCUAAGGAAUCCUAGAGCAAGGA
rnacentral:misc_RNA from 1 species